rnacentral:pre_miRNA from 1 species
GGGGGGAGGCCAGAUCCUGGGCUGUGUCCCUGGUGUCCUGUGCUCCCAGCCCUGCACUGUUGGAUUUGCGCUCCUGGCCGCGCAGCCCCUU